UGAACCAAGUCGUCGAUGA
rnacentral:siRNA from 1 species